AACGCAUAUUGCGCUCUUUGGUAUUCCGAAGAGCAUGCUUGUUUGAGUAUCAGUAAACACCUCAAAGCCCUUUUUCUUUUUUGAAGAAAGGCUUUGGACUUGAGCAAUCCCAACACUUUUUUUUUUUAGAGUGGCGGGUUGCUUGAAAUGCAGGUGCAGCUGGACAUUCUCCUGAGCUAAAAGCAUAUUCAUUUAGUCCCGUCAAACGGAUUAUUACUUUUGCUGCAGCUAACAUAAAGGGAGUUUGACCAUUUUGGCUGACUGAUGCAGGAAUUUCACAAGAGUCUUCAAAAGCUCUUGUUAAACUCGAUCUCAAAUCAAGUAAGACUACCCGCUGGACUUAA
rnacentral:misc_RNA from 1 species